rnacentral:lncRNA from 13 species
AUGGAAGGGGGCCCCCAGGCAAGGAAGGCUGCAGCCUCUGGCAGCAAGAAAGCCACGUUGGAACCAAUUCUCCCUGAAGCCUUCAUAAGGUUGCAGCUCUGCAUGCACCUUGAUUUUGGCCCAGGAAGACCCCCUCAGACUUCCGACCUCCAGAGUGCUGGGAUAAUCGCUGUGAGUCUGUUACUGCAGCAGGUGGCGGGCGCCAGGAGCCGGGCUGCCAUGUGGCGGGUGCGUGUACAUGGCACUCUCAGCACUCAGCUUUGCUGGGAAGCUGCCCUAUGCUGGUCCCAGCCCAGCAGGCUCCCGAGCCCAAAGAUGUGCUGCAGAGCCAGAGACGUUGGGAGAGGCAGCAUGGAGACCACCGGAGCCAGGUGGGGGAUGGCAACUGAGCUGGAGGCAGUGCAGGCAUCAUUCAGGUGAAUGAGGUGGGUUCUGGGAGCCUUGGCACUGGCUGGGCAUGCAGGGUCCUGCGCAUGUCUCCCCAUGGGGUCCCUUCUGCUCUGGUGGUCCUCAGAUUCCACCACCAGAAGGUUCUUCUUGCUCAGAAGUACUGGGUGCAGGAGGAGAGCAGUGCUCAGUGAUGCCAGGUCAGCAAUGGGGAGGAUGGACAAGGCUGUGGCUGGGGUCUCCUGCUGGGUGUCGGCCCUCUGUGUUCUCUGUGUGUUCUCAGCCUUGGUGGCCAGGAGCAGAGGUGGUUUGGGGAAGGGACAAGGACAGACCCUAAUCUGUCCACCUGGAGAAGGGACUCCCAGCACAUCACUGAAAAGUGCUCUGGGGGCCUGGCGCAGUGGCUCAUGCCUGUAAUCCCAGCACUUUGGGAGGCCGAUGUGGGCAGACGUGGG